AGAGUUUGAUCCUGGCUCAGGACGAACGCUGGCGGCGUGCUUAACACAUGCAAGUCGAACGGUAAGGCCCUUCGGGGUACACGAGUGGCGAACGGGUGAGUAACACGUGGGUGAUCUGCCCUGCACUUUGGGAUAAGCCUGGGAAACUGGGUCUAAUACCGAAUACACCCUGCUGGUCGCAUGGCCUGGUGGGGGAAAGCUUUUGCGGUGUGGGAUGGGCCCGCGGCCUAUCAGCUUGUUGGUGGGGUGAUGGCCUACCAAGGCGACGACGGGUAGCUGGCCUGAGAGGGUGACCGGCCACACUGGGACUGAGAUACGGCCCAGACUCCUACGGGAGGCAGCAGUGGGGAAUAUUGCACAAUGGGCGCAAGCCUGAUGCAGCGACGCCGCGUGAGGGAUGACGGCCUUCGGGUUGUAAACCUCUUUCAAUAGGGACGAAGCGCAAGUGACGGUACCUAUAGAAGAAGGACCGGCCAACUACGUGCCAGCAGCCGCGGUAAU
rnacentral:rRNA from 1 species